ensembl:lncRNA GSK3B-DT GSK3B divergent transcript
GCUGGUGAAACUGCACGGCUGGGCGCCGCCGCCGCUUUGUGAUUGGCUGGAAAACUCCGCUGGGAGCGUACCUCCUUCGGUGAUUGGUGAAGAGAAGGGGGCUUCCGAGGACAGUCUGGCCAGUCAGGACUUCCCCUCCCUCUCCAAGAGUCAUCUCUUUCUGUUAAGAUGCUGUCUCCAGAAAGCACAUGUUAAAGGACCUAUAUUUGAUCAGAUUACCUGGCUCUUGCUUUGAAACACUGAUGAAGGACUUGGGACAGAACAAAGUGAGUGGAGGACACUUCAAUCUAAAGUGAUCUUAAAGGAGGAGUAGUAGGAUUUGAAGAUGAAGAAAGAAGAGGGGAGGUUAAAAAAUGGAGGCAACAGCUGGGUACAGUGGCUCACUCCUGUAAUUCCAGCACUUUAGGAGGCCAAGGCUGGAGUGCAAUGGUGCGAUCUCGACUCACUGCAACCUCUGCCUCCCAGGUUCAAGCAAUUCUCCUGCCUCAGCUUCCCGAGUAGCUUGGACUACAGAACUGCUUACAAUGGCUAAGAUUUGGAAGCAACCUAAGUGUCCAACAGAGGAAUGGAUAAAGAAAAUGUGGUACAUAUACACAAUGGAGUACUAUUCCGCCAUAAAAAAGAAAGAGAUCCAGUCAUUUGCAACAGCAUGAAUGGAACUGGAGGUCAUUAAGUUAAGUAAAAUAAGCCAGGCACAGAAGACAAGCAGCACAUUUUCUCACUUACUUGUAGGACAUAAAAGUCAAAAUGAUUGGGCUCAUGGAUAUAGAAAGUGGAAGGAUGGUUACCAGAGGCUGGGGGGGGGAGUCGGGGGGAGGUAGAGAUGGAUAAUGGGUACAAAAAAUAGUUAGAAUGAAUAAGACCUAUUGAUAGCACAAUAGGGUGACUAUUUAAAUAAUUAUAUAUUUUAAAAUAAAGUGUGUAAUUGAGUUGUUUGUAACUCAAAGGAUAAAUGCUUGAGGGGAUGAA